GUGCUCACUUCAGCACAUACAGUAAAAUUGGAACGAUACAGAGAAGAUUAGCAUGGCCCCUGUGCAAGGAUGACAUGCUUUUAUUUUUUAUUUUAUUUUAUUUU
ensembl:snRNA U6 U6 spliceosomal RNA